rnacentral:lncRNA from 1 species
AGCUUUCCAAACUCAGCAGAGCACACAUCAGAGUGUGUUUAGUUCCCCUUUAGUUCACCCCAGAAGGGCCCCAGUGUGUUGCACCGGGAGGAGAUUUAGCCUCCCGGGGGCCAGGGUCAGGGGAGGGAGCUGUGGCCAUGAAUUUAAUACAGCUCAAGGAACCACUGAUGCAUGUGUGUACCAAGCAUGUGCUCUGGGCUGAGGCCCUGCCCUUUGAAAGCCUCACAGACAGAUUUGAAGAAAACCCAGUGUCUCUAAUCCUUUGGUAAAAUCCACAAUUGCUCAUUUUCCUCAUACAAAGACAUUUCUUGGAUUUCUUUGACAUUCUCUGAUGAAUAGAUCAUAUUUUCUGAUGAAUAAAUCUGUUAUUUUUUCUGUUUAUUUUAUCUUACCUAAUUGUUUGCAUCAAUAUAUACAACUUUAAACUAUAAUGUAAAUAAUAAAGAUGUAAGUAUUUUAUUGUUUAUUUGUAUUACAGGAAUUGAGAACAGAAAGGAUCAUUAAACAUCACCUACUCCAAAUGCAUUCGUUUCCAGAACUCCACAAGCAAGGGCAGAGCCCAGGACUCCUGUUGCCUGAUUUUGUGCCUGAGGAUCUUGGCUCUUGAAG